GGAGUCUCCAUCUUCUGCCUGAGGAUGCGCACCACGCCGGAUGGGCGUGGUUUGCACACCAAUUCAUACGGCGAGUCUAGGAUCAGAUCCCCCAGGAUGUAUGAAGUUUGGUGUGGAGAAAGUUUACUGGCCUUGUCGGAAUCCUGAUCACCAGACCCAACAAAGCAGAUGACCUGAAGGCAGCUACCAAAGCAACCUGGGCUGCCAUUACAUCUCAGCAGAACCAUAGGCUGAUCGUCUCCAUGCCACGCUGCAUUGAUGCAGUAAUUCAUGCAAAAGGAGGCCCAACUAGGCACUAAGUGCAUACAAAUGAUCAUACUUGUCAGAAGCCUGACAUUUUUGUUUAAAAUAUGUUUUUUAUUCAUCAUAUGUAAUAUUCUAAUUUCCUGAGACAAUAAAUUUUGGAUUUUGGAAUUAA